rnacentral:lncRNA from 1 species
AGAGAGUGGUGGAGCCAUAUGAAAUCCGUUGCAAAGAGUGGAGCAGGGUAGUGGCCACUGUCGUGACUUGCCAGAGAGUUUGGAUCUGUCGGCUGGAGCUCGGCUGGGAUAUUCGAUGGAGCGGAAUGGCUCUCUAUCCUGUCGAUCUAGGAGAAGCUCGGAUAUUUUUGAGGCUGCUGAUGAGUCUACUGUUGUUGGAUGCCUUAGGCGCUGAUGUUACAGACGGGAGUCAUCUGCUGUAGAAGCUCGGAUGGAGAUUUUCUGUUGGUGAAGUCCGGUAGGAGUCCGGUUGCUAGGAAAGCCCGUC